ACUUACAACAAUGGCUUUAGUGGCGGACUGGUGAGUAACACGUAAGCAACCUGCCUAUCAGAGGGGAACAACAGUUAGAAAUGACUGCUAAUACCGCAUAUGCCUUAGCAACACAUGUUGCAAAAGGGAAAGGAGCAAUCCGCUGAUAGAUGGGCUUGCGUCUGAUUAGAUAGUUGGUGGGGUAACGGCCUACCAAGUCGACGAUCAGUAGCCGGACUGAGAGGUUGAACGGCCACAUUGGGACUGAGAUACGGCCCAGACUCC
rnacentral:rRNA from 1 species